ensembl:snRNA U6 spliceosomal RNA
GUGCUCACUUCGGCAGCACAUAUACUAAAAUUGGAACGAUACAGAGAAGAUUAACAUGACCCCUGCACAAGGAUGACAUGCAAAUUCACGAAGCUUUCCAUAUUUUUUUUU